CACACACGCACACACACACACACAAACCUUCACUGGCUUCCCAUUGCCUCUCUUGAGUGUCAGCGCCUCGGUCGGUCAUUCAAGGCUCCGUGAUGUGACUUCAAGACUUUCAGGCUGUGUCUCCACACAUCUCCCCAUAUGCUUCCUCACCCCCUGGUAGUUCUUUAUAUAUCACCUUGAAAUGUCUCUCUUCUCAUCUCCUAUCUCCGCCUGAUGCAAUCCUUCUGUGCCUCAUGGCCCUUCCUGGUAGUUUUUUAUUUUGUUGUUGUUGUUGUUUUAUUUAAUUGAGGCAGGGGCUUGCCCUUUAGCCCAGGAGAAUGCAGUGGCAUGAUCACAGCUCACUGCUGCCUCGACCUCCGUCAGCCUCCCUAGCUCAACGAUCCUCUCACCUCAGCCUCCUGAGUAACUGGGACUACAGGCACAGCUCACUAUGCCCAGCUAAUUUUUGUAUUUUCUGUACACACAGGGUUUCAUCAUGUUGUCCAGGCUGGUCUUGAACUCCUGGGCUCAAGCAAUCAGCCCACCUCUGCCUCCCAAAGCGUUGAGAUUACAAGCGUGAGCCACCAUUCCUGGACCCUCGUAGUUUUUCUGGAGCCUCGUGAUUUGAUAUGAUCUUCCUGCCGCUGAUUCCUCACAGUGUUGGCUUGCCACACCUCCAGGGGCACUGAUCACAUUCUACCUGGCAUUAUUUCAUCUGAGUCCCUGUCCUAGCCCUUCUGCCCAUUAGACUGUAACCUUGUUUAGGGAAAGACCUGUGUCUUACUCAUCUGUGAUUUUGUUGUUGUUGUUGUUUUGAGACAGGGUCUUGCCCUGUUGCCCAGGCUGGAGAGCAGUGGUGCAAUCUUGGCUCACUGCAGCCUCAACCUGUUGGGGUCAAGCCAUCCUCCCACCUCAGCUUUCCAAGUAGCUGAGACUACAGGCCUGUGCCACCACACCCAGCUAGUUUUUUGUAUUUUUAGUAGAGAUGGGGUUUUGCCAUGUUGCCCAGGCUUCUCUUGAACUCCUGAGCUCAAGGGAUCUGCCUGCCUCGGCCUCCCAAAGUGCUGGGAUUACAGGCGUGAGCCACUGUGCCUGACCCACUCACCUGUCAUUGUAGUACUUAAGAUGCCUUGUUCAUUUAUUGUGCCUGUGCAAUAAAUACACCUUGAUUUGAGUUUACAAAGAUUCUCAGCAGUUGGUGGUCAUCCUCAUCUCCUGGGCGGGGGCCUCCUGGUGUGGCCAGUAUCUGAAUUAGUCUCAUAACUCAUGUUCACUUUUUAAAAUCGGAGCUUCCCAGACCUCAGUUUUGUUUUGUUAUUUUCCAUUAUCUGCAGCUGUCUCCUUUCCCCUCUCUCACCUAUACUCUACUGAUCAGUGACUGCUGGCUCCUUUGUUACCCAUCCUUCUCUUUCUCCACAUUUUUUCUCUUCUCAUCCCUUUCAGUUCUGGACUGUUUCCUUCUUCCUCCCUGUCUUUCAUUUAGUCAUUCAUUGAAUGUACUUACUAAGCACAUAUAGCAUAAUCAGGCUGUGUUGGGUAGGCAUCCCGAGUUCUAUGAGAUAAAGAAAGAAUGGGAUAUGAUUACCAAUUUUAAGAAGCAUCUAAAACAACCUGUUAUGUUUUAGCAAAUUGCCCCCAAAGGACCCAUUAGGGAGGAAAACGUUCAUGUCCUUUUUGCGUAUCAUCUCAAGCAGUACCCAUGAUGGCUGGGAUCCCAGAACCCACCUUUGAGAAUGCUGCCGUAUUUGCGUGUGGUUGACAAGGUUGGGCCAGACACUCAGGAAAUAGGGUUGUCGUCCUACCUCCCCCACUAACUUCCUGUAAGAACUUCAGCCCCUCUCAGGACCUUUUUCUUUACCAAUAAAAUUCAGAAAUUGGGCUCAAUCAGUAAUUCCCAAGUUAUUUUCCAAAGAACAUGAAUUUUGUGGAACUUUAAUAGAUAUCAUGCAAAAAAAAAUGUGGGAGGGAUUGUUCCAUGGUCAAAUGGUCUUGGAAAUAACUCGUUUAAACAAAAAUAAAACUGUUUCUUUACCCAC